rnacentral:rRNA from 1 species
GGAGUUAGCCGGUGCUUCUUCUGCGAGUAACGUCACAGAUGUAAGGUAUUAACUUACACCCUUUCCUCCUCGCUGAAAGUGCUUUACAACCCGAAGGCCUUCUUCACACACGCGGCAUGGCUGCAUCAGGGUUUUCCCCCAUUGUGCAAUAUUCCCCACUGCUGCCUCCCGUAGGAGUCUGGGCCGUGUCUCAGUCCCAGUGUGGCUGAUCAUCCUCUCAGACCAGCUAGGGAUCGUCGCCUAGGUGAGCCUUUACCUCACCUACUAGCUAAUCCCACCUGGGCUUAUCCAUCAGCGCAAGGCCCGAAGGUCCCCUGCUUUCCCCCGGUAGGGCGUAUGCGGUAUUAGCAGUCGUUUCCAACUGUUAUCCCCCACAAAUGGGCAAAUUCCCAGGCAUUACUCACCCGUCCGCCGCUCGUCAUCUUCAAAAGCAAGCUUUUGAAAUGUUACCGCUCGACUUGCAUGUGUUAGGCCUGCCGCCAGCGUUCAAUCUGAGCCAGGAUCAAACCUCUGA